AGUGCAUCGGGCGGUGCGGGAGAGGAGAGGAGGGGGUCCGGGAACCUCGGCCAGCCCCGGCCUCCGGCGGCUCCUGCCCUCGCGGUUUUUCCGUCUACGAAAUGGGCGCGGUCCCCAGAACCUGCCGAGAGCAGCGAGUGUGCGCCUGCGGGGCUUGGCAGACUGCCUCAGUUUCCCGGUCCCCAAGGGAGCACUGAGCCCUCCUCCGCCUUCACACCAGGCCGGCGCGUGUCCUUGGCGCCCCCUUCCCUAAACCCCUCGCGGCUCCCUCAGGACAACCCCACCCACCACAUUCAGGGCCGGCCUGACCUGGUCCUGCCGCCCCCAGCCCCUUCUUACUUCUCAUACCGGGUUGCGCUCUGUCGCAGCUCUUCCCGGCCCAGGUAGGACUCCUCCGGGAAGCCUUCCUGAUUCCAAGGCCGAGAAGAGGUCUGUGCUGGCCCAUCCUCCUCCAUGCCCCAGUUGUCACUGUCCUUAACAACGCUGUCCUCUGCUCCAGCGCCAGGCAAACUGGGGGCAGUGCCGGGAGGCUAUCUAGGCAGGCGUCCUGUAGGGCGCGUUUGAGCGGGCUCUGCAGAUAUCAGUAGAAGUCCGUUGGAGAGCGCCCGGGCAGGGCGCCCACAGUCUGGCCGGGAGGGACCAGGGCCUGGGUCUGGGCCCCCGGGGAUGGGGUUCCUAUGCGUCCCGAGUGAUCCACUUCUCUGGGUGGGUGGCCUUCCCUGAGAAGGGAGCAUCCCGGAGAGAACGGCGGGCACUCAGUCGCCUCCUCCCCAGCACUGACCCAGGCGGUCUCCAAACUCUGGGUCCCCAACACGGACUUCGACGUCGCAGCCAACUGGAGCCAGAACCGGACCCCGUGCGCCGGCGGCGCCGUUGAGUUCCCGGCGGACAAGAUGGUGUCAGUCCUGGUGCAAGAAGGUCACGCCGUCUCAGACAUGCUCCUGCCGCUGGAUGGGGAACUCGUCCUGGCUUCAGGAGCCGGAUUCGGCGUCUCAGACGUGGGCUCGCACCUGGCCUGUGGCGCGGGCGAACCUGCCGUCUUCCGCGACUCUGACCGCUUCUCCUGGCAUGACCCGCACCUGUGGCGCUCUGGGGACGAGGCACCUGGCCUCUUCUUCGUGGACGCCGAGCGCGUGCCCUGCCGCCACGACGACGUCUUCUUUCCGCCUAGUGCCUCCUUCCGCGUGGGGCUCGGCCCUGGCGCUAGCCCCGUGCGUGUCCGCAGCAUCUCGGCUCUGGGCCGGACGUUCACGCGCGACGAGGACCUGGCUGUUUUCCUGGCGUCCCGCGCGGGCCGCCUACGCUUCCACGGGCCGGGCGCGCUGAGCGUGGGCCCCGAGGACUGCGCGGACCCGUCGGGCUGCGUCUGCGGCAACGCGGAGGCGCAGCCGUGGAUCUGCGCGGCCCUGCUCCAGCCCCUGGGCGGCCGCUGCCCCCAGGCCGCCUGCCACAGCGCCCUCCGGCCCCAGGGGCAGUGCUGUGACCUCUGUGGAGCCGUUGUGUUGCUGACCCACGGCCCCGCAUUUGACCUGGAGCGGUACCGGGCGCGGAUAUUGGACACCUUCCUGGGUCUGCCUCAGUACCAGGGGCUGCAGGUGGCCGUGUCCAAGGUGCCACGCUCGUCCCGGCUCCGUGAGGCCGCUACGGAGAUCCAGGUGGUGCUGGUGGAGAAUGGGCCCGAGACAGGCGGAGCGGGGCGGCUGGCCCGGGCCCUCCUGGCGGACGUCGCCGAGAACGGUAACCGCGCCCGUCCCAUCCCGCCCCGCCGCGCCUCGCCCCGCCGCGGGGAAGACUGAGCCGGCCCCUCCGUCACAGGCGAGGCCCUCGGCGUCCUGGAGGCGACCAUGCGGGAGUCGGGCGCACACGUCUGGGGCAGCUCCGCGGCUGGGCUGGCGGGCGGCGUGGCGGCUGCCGUGCUGCUGGCGCUGUUGGUCCUGCUGGUGGCGCCGCCGCUGCUGCGCCGCGCAGGGAGGCUCAGGUACGCGGGGCGGGGGCGCGGAGGUGGGGCUGGGGGUUGCUCCGAGGGGCUCACGCUGCGUCCCCGCUACGCCCUCAGGUGGAGGAGGCACGAGGCGGCGGCCCCGGCUGGAACGCCCCUCGGCUUCCACAACCCGGUGUUCGACGUGACGGCCUCCGAGGAGCUGCCCCUGCCGCGGCCGCUCAGCCUGGUUCCGAAGGCGGCCGCAGACAGCACCAGCCACAGUUACUUCGUCAACCCUCUGUUCACCGGGGCCGAGGCCGAGGCCUGAGCGGCCGCCUGACCGUCGACCUUGGGGCUCUCCACCCCCUCUGGCCCCAGAACCUCCCUGACCCCAGUCGAACUGGGGGCUAGCCACCUCCUCGUCCAGCCCCCAAACCUCCCCUUCCUUUCCCCCUCCUCCGGGGGCCAAGGACAGAGUGGCCUUACUCAGUAAAGGUGUUUCCUGC
rnacentral:sRNA from 1 species